rnacentral:tRNA from 1 species
GGAAUAUAGCUCAAUUGGUAGAGUUUUUGCCUCGAAGUUCCAAGGCCCUGGGUUCAAUCCCCAGCACCA